rnacentral:rRNA from 1 species
GACAGAGGAUGCAAGCGUUAUCCGGAAUGAUUGGGCGUAAAGCGCGCGUAGGCGGCUACCUAAGUCGGAUGUGAAAGCCCCUGGCUUAACCGGGGAAGUGCACCCGAAACUGGGUAGCUAGAGUGCAAAAGAGGGUCGCGGAAUUCCCAGUGUAGAGGUGAAAUUCGUAGAUAUUGGGAGGAACACCGGUGGCGAAGGCGGCGACCUGGGUUGACACUGACGCUGAGGCGCGAAAGCGUGGGGAGCAAACAGGG